rnacentral:rRNA from 2 species
UGGGGAAUAUUGCACAAUGGGGGAAACCCUGAUGCAGCGACGCCGCGUGGAGGAAGAAGGUCUUCGGAUUGUAAACUCCUGUUGUUGAGGAAGAUAAUGACGGUACUCAACAAGGAAGUGACGGCUAACUACGUGCCAGCAGCCGCGGUAAAACGUAGGUCACAAGCGUUGUCCGGAAUUACUGGGUGUAAAGGGAGCGCAGGCGGGAAGACAAGUUGGAAGUGAAAUCUAUGGGCUCAACCCAUAAACUGCUUUCAAAACUGUUUUUCUUGAGUAGUGCAGAGGUAGGCGGAAUUCCCGGUGUAGCGGUGGAAUGCGUAGAUAUCGGGAGGAACACCAGUGGCGAAGGCGGCCUACUGGGCACCAACUGACGCUGAGGCUCGAAAGUGUGGGUAGCAAACAGGAUUAGAUACCCUGGUAGUCCACACCGUAAACGAUGAUUACUAGGUGUUGGAGGAUUGACCCCUUCAGUGCCGCAGUUAACACAAUAAGUAAUCCACCUGGGGAGUACGACCGCAAGGUUGAAACUCAAAGGAAUUGACGGGGGCCCGCACAAGCAGUGGAGUAUGUGGUUUAAUUCGACGCAACGCGAAGAACCUUACCAAGUCUUGACAUCCUGCGACGAUGCUGGAAACAGUAUUUUCCUUCGGGACACAGAGACAGGUGGUGCAUGGUUGUCGUCAGCUCGUGUCGUGAGAUGUUGGGUUAAGUCCCGCAACGAGCGCAACCCUUACUGUCAGUUACUACGCAAGAGGACUCUGGCAGGACUGCCGUUGACAAAACGGAGGAAGGUGGGGAUGACGUCAAAUCAUCAUGCCCUUUAUGACUUGGGCUACACACGUACUACAAUGGCGUUAAACAAAGAAAAGCAAGACCGCGAGGUGGAGCAAAACUCAGAAACAACGUCCCAGUUCGGACUGCAGGCUGCAACUCGCCUGCACGAAGUCGGAAUUGCUAGUAAUCGUGGAUCAGCAUGCCACGGUGAAUACGUUCCC